UAGUUUACCGAGUCGUGCAGGAUGAAGAACCGUAGAGGUUCGAGCAUCGCGCAGCGAUACGACGACGCGCAGCGUUGCCCGCAGGGUGAGGCCACAGGCCGAAUCAAUCCUGCACGACCCACCA
rnacentral:sRNA from 1 species